rnacentral:rRNA from 1 species
GGCGGCGUGCCUAACGCAUGCAAGUCGUACGAGAAAGUUGGCUUCGGCCGAUGAGUAAAGUGGCGCACGGGUGAGUAAUGCGUGGAUAAUCUGCCCUUUAGUUGGGAAUAACGUACCGAAAGGUGCGCUAAUACCUGAUAAUACUGCAUAACUACUGUUGUGUAGUCAAAGAAGGCCUCUGUUUACAAGCUUUUGCUGAAGGAUGAGUCCGCGUACCAUUAGCUGGUUGGUGGGGUAAUGGCCUACCAAGGCUACGAUGGUUAGCUGGUCUGAGAGGAUGAUCAGCCACACUGGAACUGAGACACGGUCCAGACUCCUACGGGAGGCAGCAGUGAGGAAUAUUGCGCAAUGGGGGCAACCCUGACGCAGCAACGCCGCGUGAGUGAGGAAGGUUUUCGGACCGUAAAGCUCUGUCGAGCGGGAAGAAAUGUAUCAUGGCUAAUAUCCAUGAUACUUGACGGUACCGCUAAAGGAAGCACCGGCUAACUCCGUG